AGCUGGUGGAGCUGUCGAUGGUACUGCUGCAGCUCCAUCUUCUUCUGUCACCUCAGCUUCAACGGAUGGCACCUCAGGGAGCAUUGUAGGGGCCGACAAUGCCAAAAUCAGCUCAGGAAUCGAUGCUGACGUUACAUCGGAUUCCCUCACCGGUGCAGAUGAAGCGGCUGUUCGACUCCUCUUCAAUGGUCGGGAGUGUCCAGCUUCGGAUGCUGUCUUCUUCUUGACAGCAUGCUGACAAAUAUUGAUGGUCGA
rnacentral:lncRNA from 1 species